AUGAAUAAGUUAUUCCAACCAUUGUUAAGGAAGUGUGUGCUAGUUUUCUUUGACGACAUACUAGUAUAUAGCCCUUCAUGGCAUGCCCAUUUGAAACAUGUAGAGAUUGUGUUUCAAAUACUAAGUCAGAAUGUGUUGUAUGCAAAACUAUCCAAAUGUUCAUUUGGUUUAUCUGAAGUGGAGUAUCUUGGUCACAUAGUUUCUGGUGCUGGUGUAUCAAUGGAUAGAACAAAGGUUCGAGAUGUAUUAGAUUGGCGUAUGACAACAAAUUUGAAACAGUUACGAGGAUUUCUUGGGCUCACCGGAUAUUAUAGAAGAUUUAUUAAGUAG